UUCAAGAUGUAUCCAUUGCUAUAAACGCUCGCUUGGCCUUCUAUUUCCGUAACAAGCACGCUUUGAUCUUUUGUGUGCUUCUUCUACUAUCCGCCUUCAAACUGGCCUUUGUAUAUUUUUCAAGGAGGACCUCUGCUAUAACACGCAGAGUCACUGUAGCCGACUACUAAAGUAAGAAUUGUUCAUUUUUUUUUCGAAACUCGUGCCUUGUUUCGUCUCCUACGGUGAAUAUCAUAGUAUUGCGAGACAGCCGGACCCGUAAUUUCGUCAUAAGUCGUUUCAGUCAUAGUCAGUUGGCUUGAGCUGCCGCAGAGUUACCUUAGAAAAGUGGUGGAAGAGGAUUUUUUUAGACUUCUCCACUGUUCUGGUAGGCCUUGGAAGGGGGAGAAGCCUGUCUGCCACGGUUUGCAAGGUUCCAAAUGAGAACUGUUUGGCGACUGCCUAGACGGUUCCGGUUAACACUGGAUACCGCCAGCCGGAGGAGAAGUGCUAGCUAUCUAGGAACAGUAAAACUGCGACAGCAGGGUUAGGGAAUAAGGGAGGAGAAAGAGUGAAUAACGAAGUGGCCUCGAGAUUUUGCUACAGAAAGCGGAAAUUUAUGACACAGCAGGCUCAGAAGCCUACAAAGGCAAGACAAUGGCAAACCAGCGGUAGGCACGGUCAAAAUAACGGAAAAACCAACAUUACUGCAACCAUCGUGCCAAUGAUGGGGCAAGCGAGGCAUCGGACUACACAGGGGCAAUUCUGUAUUUUGGAAAAACAUUUCGCAGGCGGCUACGUCAGAAGGGUGGCGGUUUUUCUUUAACGAAAGGAUGCUUGCCAGAAGCUUCCGGCGUUUGCGCUUGCACGGCACCCUUGUGCAGCCCUACAGUCGGAAGGGCUAAGUUCAAGUGUUGUUUCCUUUCCCUGCUAGUAGUUUCAUAGCCAUUGCUGCUCUUAGUUCCCUGUAUCGCUGUCGAUGCGUGCGAAUGUAUAUGUGAAAACGCUCUCAACGCUGUACCUGACUCAAUGCAACUGGACGAAAUGUCCUCGUUUGGUACCUGCCGCUUAACCUGACCCCGAUGUAGCUAGGGAGUAGCUAUUUGUAAAUCUGCUAUCUUUCUCACCUGAAAGAAUUAGCAAGGAAAAAGGAUGUUAUUCGUGGAAAAGGAGAACAAAGGGCAGAAAGGAAAUAGCGAGAAGGUUGUACGGAAAAGUCCGAGAGAGGAAAACCCAGCGGUAUCGCGAGGCGCACACGCAUAUCCAAAACAAAAGCAACGGACUACGAGUGUAAGCGCAUAUGUGAGUUCAGGAAACGUCUCUGGCUCAAUUUCGAAUCGCAAACAGGUUUUACCAGCCUCGAGCUAAGAAUCUACUGAGACAUUCAAGAUAUUAAUUGCCGUCUGUAGAUAAAGGCAUUGUCAAGGCUAUCAUCAGUGUAAGCACCGAAAGAACACCAAAAAAGCCAGCAGUAUUCGCGAUGUGGCAUCGGGCUACGGGCGCAAGUUUUAUGUCAUCGCAGAAAUCGAACAGCUAAGCGAUGUUUCGGACUCGCAUUUCGCCAUCUUAUCUCUCGAAAACUUUAAGCAAAAGGAGAACUUCGCCGACCACGUGGCCGUAUGUGUUUGAAUAAGGCACGAGUAGUUCGUCUAAUGAUACAGCCUAUUGCAAUUUUGUUACCUGCUCAGGAACGUAUCAACGAAUAAAUCGGAUAUAAUCGAUGUCACCGAGUUAGAGCGUACCGAGUGUACCACAGUGUACGUACAUAUAAAUAGCUAUAAGAAAAUAGGAACACAUGAUACGCAAGAGGCGAGCUGACAAGCGGGAAGGACUGGUCAUCCUGUGAUGACUGAAGAUGUGCUUGAUCCGAAGUGAGUUCGUGUCAUACCCACACAUAGUCACCGAACUAGAACUAGACAUCGGUAAAUACAAACGAGUACAAUUGUUUUUUCUUAUCCAUUCAAUUUUAACCAUUUCUGAUUUAGCAAAUGCUGGAAAAAUAUGAAACAAUAAUGACAAUCGAGAGUACUUUGGAAAUAAUUUCACUAGUUUGCAUUGUCGGUGGUGAGCUGCUUUAUUAGAAGUGAUAGCUUCAUAAAUAUGUGACGUUCUUGAAGACCUUCAAGUAGUCUACUGUGACUGAUCUUCCUAUAAAACGAUACCUUGAAGUAUCUGCAAUGAUGAGAUCUACUCAAGGACUUCGGAAGAACAAAACGAAAGAAUUUUUUCAUUAACAUAAACGGGAGCUGAUUUCGCUGGCUCGCCUCUCGGGGCCGCAAUAACACUUCGGCUCUGAAAAUAUUACCCAAAAAAAAUCUCAAAUGCUUGUAGGGACAGCGACGUUAUUUGUUUGAUCUACUCUGUAUCAGGCUAAUUAGGGUAAUAACUUGGUGUGUCUGACAAGCAGGCUCAAUGUAUUAUAGAACAGAAAAUCUAAUUACUACCAGGCAGAAUACUUUCGAACUAUUGCGCUUCAUUGUACCUCAAUAAAGGUGUGCACAGCCCAG
rnacentral:lncRNA from 1 species